rnacentral:rRNA from 1 species
UGGGGAAUUUUGCACAAUGGGGGAAACCCUGAUGCAGCGACGCCGCGUGAUUUAGAAGGCCUUCGGGUUGUAAAAAUCUUUUCUAUGGGAAGAAAAUGACAGUACCAUAGGAAUAAGGACCGGCUAAUUACGUGCCAGCAGCCGCGGUAAUACGUAAGGUCCGAGCGUUGUCCGGAAUCAUUGGGCGUAAAGGGUACGUAGGCGGGUAAGCAAGUUAGAAGUGAAAUCCUAUAGCUCAACUAUAGUAAGCUUUUAAAACUGCUCAUCUUGAGGUAUGGAAGGGAAAGUGGAAUUCCUGGUGUAGCGGUGAAAUGCGCAGAUAUUAGGAGGAAUACCGGUGGCGAAGGCGAGUUUCUGGCCAUAACCUGACGCUGAGGUACGAAAGCGUGGGUAGCAAACAGG